rfam:Hordeum vulgare subsp. vulgare, WGS project CAJW01000000 data, contig: morex_contig_64422
GAAAUACUCCCUCCGUCCGGAAAUACUCGUCGUAGAAAUGAAUGUAUCUAGAUGAUUUUAGUUUUAGAUAUAUCUAUUUUUAUACAUUUGUGCGAUAAGUAAUUCCGGACGAAUGGAGUAGCAG